rnacentral:rRNA from 1 species
GAGUUUGAUCAUGGCUCAGAUUGAACGCUAGCGGGAUGCCUUACACAUGCAAGUCGAACGGCAGCACGGACUUCGGUCUGGUGGCGAGUGGCGAACGGGUGAGUAAUGUAUCGGAACGUGCCUAGUAGCGGGGGGAUAACUACGCGAAAGCGUAGCUAAUACCGCAUACGCCCUACGGGGGAAAGGCAGGGGAUCGCAAGACCUUGCACUAUUAGAGCGGCCGAUAUCGGAUUAGCUAGUUGGUGGGGUAACGGCUCACCAAGGCGACGAUCCGUAGCUGGUUUGAGAGGACGACCAGCCACACUGGGACUGAGACACGGCCCAGACUCCUACGGGAGGCAGCAGUGGGGAAUUUUGGACAAUGGGGGAAACCCUGAUCCAGCCAUCCCGCGUGUGCGAUGAAGGCC